GACGAACCGUGCGAACGUUAUUCGGAAUCACUGGGCUUAAAGGGCGCGUAGGCGGGCCAUCAAGUCAGAGGUGAAAGCCCCCGGCUCAACCGGGGAAGUGCCUUUGAUACUGAUGGUCUCGAGGGGGAUAGGGGCGUGCGGAACUUCCGGUGGAGCGGUGAAAUGCGUAGAUAUCGGAAGGAACACCGGUGGCGAAAGCGGCGCGCUGGAUCCCUUCUGACGCUGAGGCGCGAAAGCGUGGGGAGCAAACAGG
rnacentral:rRNA from 1 species